UAAGGUGCUUCCUACACCCAUUUCCAGCUGGCCAAGUAGGACCAAGAUAAUCAUCACGGAGUAAGAGGAGAGGUGGGGAUGCCUCUCAGAUCAAAGUCUUCAAAGGCAAACCAGCUGCAUGUCCUGUGAAGAUCGAGUUUGGCUCCCGACUCAAGCAGACAGCCCUGAAUGAGAUUCUUGGGAUAGCUACUGAAAACUGGCAGCAGAAGCAGAGCUGGGUUUAUUUCAGCGGGCGUGUUAAGAAGCUGGACCCUUUCCUGGAAAAUCAGCUCCAGUGGAUUAAGAGCUCAUUUAUGAAAAGUGAAACCACCACAGAGGCAGUGGCCAAGAGGGGAGAUGACAUCAAGGUUCCUAAAUAAGACACCAGACAUACUAGGCCUGCUUAUCAAACCACAACUAACAGCAGACAACAAUAGCCAAUAAGCAACAGCAGCCAAAACCAACCAACAACCCAACAAUAACCCACCUAUCAGAGCUCUAGCAUUUAUAUAAUACCCUCUGAAAAGUCUCCAGAAUUCCAGACACCCAUACACUCACAGAAACCAUAUGCAGCUGGCAAAAUCACGCCCCUGCUAGAGCAUGAGGCAAAUCAUAGUCAGCUAUGGUGGGCAGUCUGAAGCAGCCCCGUACCUCACACCUAGGAUUAAGACAAAAAUAUAUUCUUAAAUAUUCCUGUGGGUUUUUUGUUUUUUUUUUUUUUUACUUGGUUUGGUUUUUUGUUUUUCGAGACAAAGUUUCUCUGUAUAGCCCUGGCUGUCCUGGAACUCACUCUGUAGACCAGGCUGGCCUUGAACGCAGAAAUCCACCUGCCUCUGCCUCCCAAGUGCGCCACCACACCCGGCUAUUCCUGUGUUGUUUUUUUUUUUUAAAAGAAACCAAAACUCCCAAAUUGUCACUAUAGAUAUUAUUUUAAGAUAAACAAGCAGAUUACAGAAAGAAUGAGUCUGCUCUGGUUUUAUUUUGAGAUAGGAUUUCUUAGUUUAACCCCGGCAACUCACCAGGCUGGCCUCAAACUCACAGAGAUGGCCUGCCUCUGCCUCCCAAGUGAUUGAAGGUGUGCGCCAUUAUCACCCAGCAAGUUUGGCUCUCUGUUCUACUCCACAAAUACACUCUUCAUUUUGACCCAAAGAUUUUGACUCACACUUGGGUUCAUUUGGUCUGCUGACAUUCAGGCCCAUACUUACAUACUUCCUGUCCCCCAACGCUUAGCAGCAAACUGCACUUGGUAUAACCCUAGAUUUGUCUUUCUCUUCUUUUCAGUCUCACAGCACCUUGAGGCUCGUCCUUAUGAAUUAGGACUUGGUUGUCCUGCAUCAGCAGAGCUGUGUGACCUUCUUGGAAACCAGAGAGGCAGGAUUGAUGCUGACGCUUCAUAGGCUGUGGUAACCACGUGACUCACCGCCACGUGUCCACGCAGAAAAGCUACCCCUGUUCAGCGCAUCCUCAGUGCAGCCCCAAGGCUGAAGUCGCCAGUACCCACCUCUCUGGGCAGCCCAGUGAUGUCCCUCAGCGAUGAGACUUCAGCAAAGGUCCCCCAAGAGUGGGCUGGACUGUUGGCAAACCUCCUCAGGAACGGCUCCUCGGUGGUGGUCCCUCAGCAGCAACCUCUCAAGAAUGGUCCCUGGCGACUGCCCCUUAGCAACAGCUCCUCACAAAUGACCCCUAGAAAGUGGUCCAGUAACUAGGUCGCCUCCCAGAAACAGAUCCUCGGCGACGGUUCCUCAGCACUGGCCCCGCAGAAUCAGUUCCUUAAGCCGCUAGACCAUGGCCUCUUAACGGCCCGACUGCCCCCCAGCCACCGGGGGUCUGAGGCUGCGUAGUUUGGGCGCGCAGCUCCAUGGCAACGGAAGGCUGCUUUGGGGUAGCGGGCGGGGCUGUGGCUGCGGAGGGAGAGCCUGUGCGCAGGCGUAGUGCAACAGCGGGGGGUAAAGUGGGGGGAGCGUCGCGGAGGGCAGAGUCCAAGCUGACUGUUGCCCAGACGAUUCUCCUGGAGACUGGGGCAGGUGCUCGAGAACUUGUCUAAAGCCAGUUGAAACUUGGGUCAACUGCUUACUUAAAAGACCAUUUACGCAAAAGUUAGGAUCUCCUGCGUCUCUUGGAUCUGAAUUCUGGCUCUCCCAGGGCUUUGCAGCCUGUGUUGUACCCUCUAAGUUGUGACACUUGACUCCUCUGUAUAACUCACAGGACUCUUUGGAUUGUUUUUGGUCGUUUAAGUUGGCGUUGUCACUAGUCCGGGCAGGAGGUGGGCUCAACAGUGGACAGGACAUGAUCCCUUUCCUCAGAGUCGCAGGGAUGACUGGCAACUCCUGUAGUUUUGUCUUGGAGAUGGAGAACCUUCAGCGUUAAGGAGUCCUCAAAAUAAUACAGAGCCUGUGGAAAUGUCAGUGGAGAUUGGUGGGGGGUACCUCUGCACUCCCUUCAGAUACUUUGCCUGUGAAAUACCACUGCAAUACUGUAUAGGUGUGUGUGUGGCUGGGGAUCGAACCCAGGUGUUCUAUAAGUUUAGAGCUUUGUGUAUGGAAGCCGGAUGUCCUAGUAAAGCAAUUUGGGAAAGAUAGCCAGUUGGUUUGUAACCUUUAGCUGAGGGAGAAUGUGAACUGGGCCUCCUGCUCUGGGUUGACCCUGGUAUAUGGCUGAGCAGAGAGGGUUGUGAAGUAACCAUAUCCAAUACUAAUAUUUGUGGUAUGAAGUAUAAUCCCCACUAUAGUAAAAUAAGUGAAUAAAUUGGUCUUCUCUUUC
ensembl:processed_transcript 5830444B04Rik RIKEN cDNA 5830444B04 gene